rnacentral:rRNA from 1 species
CCCUUAGAUGUUCUGGGCCGCACGCGUGCUACACUGAGUGGAUCAGCGGGUCAGGUUGCGCGAAAGUGUUUCCUAAUCUUUAAAUCCGCUCGUGAUGGGGAUUGACGGUUGCAAUUUUCUGUCAUGAACGAGGAAUACCUUGUAAGCGCGGGUCAUCAUCCCGCGCUGAAUACGUCCCUGCCCUUUGUACACACCGCCCGUCGCUCCUACCGAUUGAGUGGUCCGGUGGGGCUUUGGGAUCUGAGCGGAAAGAGCGUUUCGCUGUUUCUGCUCGGAAAACUCAGUCGAACCUUAUCAUUUAGAGGAAGGAGAAGUCGUAACA